AGGGAUCAUGUCAUAUUUCCUCAACCUCCUACUUUCUAUUAGAUCCUGUGUUGAAGUACAUAUAUGAGUACUAGAACCAGAAUCCAAUACCUUGCUAAAAGUAGAAGAAACCAUUAGGUUAGAUUCAAUUAUGAGCAUACUUGAUAUACCUUCCAAAGGUGUAUUGCUCUUCUUGGUCUUCAAGCUCUCCAGGUAGAGUGGACAGUUCC
rnacentral:lncRNA from 1 species